rnacentral:rRNA from 1 species
UACGUAGGGACCUAGCGUUGUCCGGAAUCAUUGGGCGUAAAGCGCGCGUAGGCGGCCCGGUAAGUCCGUUGUAAAAGUCGAAGGCUCAACCUUCGAAAGCCGAUGGAUACUGCCGGGCUAGAGUACGGAAGAGGCGAGUAGAAUUCCUGGUGUAGCGGUGGAAUGCGCAGAUAUCAGGAGGAAUACCCAUAGCGAGGGCAGCUCGCUGGGACGUUACUGACGCUGAGGCGCGAAAGCGUGGGGAGCGAACAGG